rnacentral:rRNA from 1 species
ACGCUGGCGGCGCGCAUAACACAUGCAAGUCGAGCGAGGGCUCAUUUCCCGCAAGGGAGAUGGGUUCCUAGCGGCGAACGGGUGAGUAACACGUGGGCAACCUUUCCUAUCGCGGGGGAUAACAGCGGGAAACCGCUGCUAAUACCGCAUGUCGUCAUCGGUCGCAUGGCCGGUGAAAAAAGCAGCAAUGCACGAUGGGGUGGGCCCGCGGCCUAUCAGCUAGUCGGUGGGGUAACGGCCUACCGAGGCGAUGACGGGUAGCUGGUCUGAGAGGACGACCAGCCACACGGGGACUGAGACACGGCCCCGACUCCUACGGGAGGCAGCAGUGAGGAAUCUUCCGCAAUGGGCGAAAGCCUGACGGAGCGACGCCGCGUGUGGGAUGAAGUCCUUCGGGAUGUAAACCACUGUUGGAGGGGAAGACAACUGACGGUACCCUCCGAGAAAGCCCCGGCUAACUACGUGCCAGCAGCCGCGGUAAUACGUAGGGGGCUAGCGUUAUCCAGAAUUACUGGGCGUAAAGCGCGUGUAGGCGGCUGGUUAAGUGUGAUGUGAAAUCUUCGGGCUCAACCCGAAAACUGCAUUGCAAACUG